rnacentral:rRNA from 1 species
AUUGAACGCUGGCGGCAUGCUUUACACAUGCAAGUCGAACGGGGUGGUGGGCAACCCGCCAUUCAGUGGCGAACGGGUGAGUAAUGCAUCGGAACGUGUCCCGUAGUGGGGAUAACCCGGCGAAGCCGGACUAAUACCGCAUAUGCUCUACGGAGGAAAGCGGGGACCUGAAAGGGCCUCGCGCUAGUGGGAGCGGCCGAUGUCCGAUUAGCUUGUUGGUGGGGUAAUGGCCUACCAAGGCGACGAUCGGUAGCUGGUCUGAGA